GACGAACGCUGGCGGCGUGCUUAACACAUGCAAGUCGAGCGGUAAGGCCCUUUCGGGGGUACGACGAGCGGCGAACGGGUGGAGUAACACGUGGGUGACCUGCCCUCCAGCUCUGGGAGUAAGCCUGGGAAACCGGGGUACUAAUACCGGAUAUGACUCCAUGACGCAUGUUGUGGGGUGGAAAGCCUUGUGCGGCUGAGGAUGGGCCCGCGGCCUAUCAGCUUGUUGGUGGGGUGAUGGCCUACCAAGGCGACGAC
rnacentral:rRNA from 1 species